AUGUCCCAGCCCCCAACCACCCCCACUCCUCCUCCUUCCUCCUCCAGCCCCAGCCGCCAGGGCACAAACCUUUCCCCUCAAAAAUGGCAAUGUGAGCAGAGGAAGGAAGCUGAUAUGGUCGAAGAAGGCAAGGAGAAGCAAGGAGCAGAGAGAGAAGACAAGAAAAACAUGGAUGCAGGCAAGGAGAAGCAAGGAGCAGGAACAGAUCAGAGGGCACAAAUCACUCACCAGGCUGUUCUUGAUCCGUAUGGAGCUACUAUGUUUGGUUCUCAGGGGGGGCAAAAUAGCCAACAGCAACAGUGGCUGAAUUCUGAUGCUUGGAACCAAGGGAUGCAACAUACACACCCCUGGAUGCAAAAUCAGAGGCUUCCACAUGCUUCUAUUAACAGAACACAAAGGAAUGCCCUGAAUAUUCCAGUGAGUGCAAUUAUGUAUGGUAUCUUCAAUAGUCAAGGCAAUACACAGGCAAACUUGCAUGUGAACCUGGGUGCACAUACUUCAGUGGGUGAGUACAACCAAGUGUCUGCUGUGCUCCAACCCCCUGCAAACAAGGUCGCUUAUGAAGCCCCUAUGUCAUACAUGCAACUCCUACUUGCUGCUGAAGAAGAGGGUGCUAGAAAUGCAUCAUCUCAAUCACAAGAAGAUCGCCUUGUUCGUACUGAGAAUGAUAUGUACAUGAUAACUGGGCGAUACAGUGUAUCUUCAGAAGAUCCAUUCCAAGCACAUGCUGGCAGUGGAGCUCAGCAUACAUCUGAAGUCGAUGACCAGCAUGAUAUAGAUCUUGAACCUUUUGUUGACAAUCGAUUUUCAGAAAGCUUGAAUGAUUUGAACUAG
rnacentral:rRNA from 1 species